rnacentral:lncRNA from 12 species
UUUAAGCGCUAUUUGCACAGCGCUAAAGGAUGGAAUAGCUGUGUGUGUUUACCAUUAGCUCAGAGUGACUAGGCAAACAAACAGUACAGCUAUUGACAAGCACGAAGCAUGGAAUAUGCUCGCUGUUUUCAAAGCUCACAGCGAGAGGGAGAGAAGUGAAUCUGUCAAAGACUCUAUUAUGCCGUGUCCAAACAGAGUGGGCCUUUCCACAAUGCCCUUAAUAAAGGGACAAUGUCAAGGAGAGCGGCAGCAAUAAUGGCAGAUGAUUUGGCCAUUGUGGGGUUAUCGCUGUAGAUAAGUUAUAACAGAUGAUUUGCCCUUUGUGGAGUUAUCAGUGGAGAUCAGGGUGUAGUGGUUUGUGAGGGAUUGUGGUCUGUGUGUGUUUGAGAGUGCAUGGCAUGCAGCCAGCAGGAGGAGUGUGGUGCCUGCGUGUGUCUUUGUUUGUUUUCUCCCCCUCCUUUUCAAGUGCAGUGAAGGGGCGGAGCCACGUGUCCGGCGGCCAACAACAAAGCUAGCUUCGAGAGGUCUGCCAAAAUUUGCCCCCUGCACUUGUUCAAAGGGACCAAAGUACAGUGCCAAAUUUCGAAUAAUCAAGGAGCACAGCAGAGAGUUGGACGGCCUGCUUGAUUUUCUGGCAAAGUACUGCAUCCUCAGUCAGGACAAGCUGUCCAUGUACAAAAGAGCUUUUGAGGCCGUGAGUAAAAGAAAAUUUCACAAUUUCCACAUCAAAAAGAAUGGUUUUGUUUAUUUUCAUAUGCUAGUAAUGACAGUAAUCACUUAACUGUCACUUACUUUGACUGUAAUACUCCGUGCCUGCAGGCUGAUAGUGAUGGAGAUGGUUAUCUGAGCUGUCUCCAAGUUUUGCUGGCACUGAAAGAGAUCAUUCCCCCAGAACUUCUGACUGAAGAAGAGGAAAUAUAUGUGUACAGGGUAAACGCCCUCUUCAAAAAAAUAUAUAUACGAUCUGCCCGUCUCUCUUUUUUAUCACAAUGUCUAGAGGCAAUUCACUAAGAAUAAUUUGUGCUGGCUGAUAGCGACAUUUUAUUUGCAUGCACUGUCUGUGUUGUUUUAGCACCCGUUUCACUAAAGGAAUCAUGCAAAUUAGGUAACUGCGCAAACACAACCAUAAAAUCUGUGUCAAACACAAUUUGCCCAGCGGAAUUGCAGGGCAGAGUAAAACAGUGAAAAUACACAGGUCUGCACCAUAUAUCCGCAUACAAACCUGGUUUUAGGAUGUUUCUGCAUCAUUUGAUCAUUUUUAUUUAAUGAAUUAUUACUGAUCAANAAAUUACAAUUUAAUUAAUUAUUAAAUAAAUAAGUAUUAAUUUUUGCAUUAUUUGUUGUUUUUUAUUAUUAUGUUUUAUAUAUUAUCAAAUAUAAAUACAAAUAUAAUAAAAUGUUAGUAUAAUUGAGGCACUAUAAUCGUUUUUUAUUAACAUUUUGAAGUUUUUAUUUUUACAUUUUUAAUUUUAUUUAAAGUUUUAGUCAUUUUGUUGUGUGUUUUGUCAUUUUAAGUAGUAGUAGUUUUUUUAAGUGUCUGUAUAGUUUUCAUUCAUUUUUAUUACAGUUAACAAGUUAAACUAAAUAAAAAUAAGAAAUAUUAGCUUUGCUGUAACCAAAAUGUUUUUUUAUAUAUUUUAUUUCAGUUUUUUAUAUAUUUUAUUUCAAGUAAUGAAAAAUGUUUUUAUGGUUUUAGUUAGCUAUAAUAACCCUUAUAAAAAUCCUUAAAAAAUAUUAUGGUCUACAUUUAAACAUGGAUUUGCUUGUAUUUAAAUAUUUAUAUGAUCUAUUCUCAGAUUCUGGAGCUGGUUGAUUUCAGAGUAACAGAAGGCCUUACGGAUCUGCGCCUGUUUGCUGUAGUGGCCAGUUUGGCCCAGAAAAUAGCCACACUCGAGUGAGUCAGCAGGUCAAGCAUUCAACAUACACAAUAGCGUUAGAAGAGGAGUCACUGACCUUCCAUAAAUAUUCACGGCCAGUUCAAAAGUGUUUGUGCGUGUAGGACCGAAAAUUUGUAUAUUCGUUUGUAGCGUCUGUACCAUUCGAUUGUACAAAAAUACAAGAGCAUGUGACAUGCGAUUAGAGGGCGACUCAUGACAGCCUGGGCGGUCGUGUGUCAUCUUGAAGUCCAUUACUGUGAUGAGGGUUUGGGGGCAUUUGGCUGUGAUGCUACAUUACAGCCCAUAUGCCAGAAAUUCCCACACACAGGCUCUUUCAUUCCCACUCACUUUUUUUAGGAUCUUUAACAGCUUCCACUCAACGUAGGGGCCCAUUCUGGGUUUCCUGGGUUAUGUGUGCGAGGGGAUUUGGGGUCACGCCUCUUCGCUGAUUUACGGCAUUGCUCUUUGAGCGAGUGAGCAAUGCCUUUUCCCUGCACUAGUGGACAAAUGAAACAAAUGAAAAGGAACAAGGGUGUUUCAUUGGAAUGGACACAAUAGGGACAUUUAUGUGCUUUAACCUUUUCCAUCAACCUCUUCUGAACCCUGAUAUGGAUUUGACCCCAUUCAUUAGCUGAUAUACACCCAUGUUCACUCAUUACAGUGGACAUAACCCUCAUAGAACGACAAAAACCAGUGCCUUGACUGCCUAUCCAAAGUCUCUCCUGCUACCUUUUGCUUUCGCCAUCUGUCUGUGCUUUGGCACUUUCUCCCAGAGCUGGUCAUCUGAUUAACCACAACAUUUCCAUACAGAGGUUGAUAAGAGCAGUGCUCCCUCAAAACACAGUGUCUUCCUCUACCUGUGUGUGUUUUUUUGGGUUGGAACUGAAGCAUAGGUAGAGACGUCCUGGGUGGGCUGCAUGUGGUCUGAGAUGUCCGCAGGUUCGGUUCCAGUGAAUCUAUGGCUUAAUUGGACUGAUUCAACCUAACACUGCACCAAUACAAAACCAAAAAAUGAAGGGAAACCUUAAACGACCUCCUUUAACAUCCCGCCUCUAUCUCUCUUUCUCAAUCUCUGACCCAGUCCAAAACAUAAACACACUUACCGCCAAAACCAACUUGUCAAAACAACUCCGUUCACCCAAACUUUAAGUGGGUCACCCACCCCCACCCCACCCCUCCAAAAAUCCAACCAUAUCUUGCAACCCCCCUGCCAGAACUGCCAAAACUUUGGCAAUUACGUAAGUGUGAGGUCCGUGGUGAUGGGGCACAACAAUAGAAAUGGGUUAGAGCUGCUAUUAUCCUCCUCUCUGUCUCUGGCGCGCUCUCUGUUGCCCCGGCUAUUAUCCACGCUGCAGUUUGGGCUCUUUUUCUGCAAACCAAGUGCAAUUAAUGAUCAUUAGCUGGCCUGUCUCCCCUCAUUCCCAUCAAACCCCCUCCUGCCUUACCACAACCCUGGGCGAACGGGCCAAUAGCGGUUAGUCUGAGGGUGGCGUACCAGCAGCUAUUCUCCUCCCAGCAUGCUUUCUGAAUGGAGGGGCUCGUUAGAACGGGGGAUGACCAUCGCUGUGCCACACGCUGGACAGUGGAGCUCUGUCCCAGCUGAAUAGCCACUGCCUCCAAGCAAUUAUCCCAGUGUGUAUGUGUGCAAGUGUAUAUUUGUGUAGGUGUGUGUUGGUCACAUUGCUCCAGAGCAUGUCCCCUAAACACCCUCCUCACACUGGGUCAGUUUUUUUUUAUCCGUUAUACUGGCGGGUUGGGAUCAUUGUUUUAGGGGACAGACCAUAAUGAGCAACCACAAUGGGCUCAGAACACUUUAGCAUCAUUGCCCCCCGCCCCACCAAAACCCAAAACAACGCACCACACGACUAGGCCUCGCUGGAAAAAUACCCGCCAAAAUACAGCAGCAUUUACCAGCAUUUACCAGCAUAACCCCAUCAUCUUUGGUUAUUUGAUGAAAUAUAUAUAUAGUGGUGUGAAAAAGUGUUGGCCCCCUUCCUGAUUUCUUUUUUGCAUGUUUGUCACACUUUGAUGUUUCAGAUCAUCAAACAAAUUUAAAUAUUAGUCAAAGAUAACACAAGUAAACACAACAUGCAGUUUUUAAAUGAAGGUUUUUAUUAUUAAGGGAAAACACAAUCCAAAACUACAUGGCCCUGUGUGAAGAAGUGUUUGCCCCCCUGUUAAAACUGUGGUUUAUCACACCUGAGUAAAAUUUCUCUAGCCACACCCAGGCCUGAUUACUGCCACACCUGUUUGGAAUCAAGAAAUCUCUUAAAUAGGACCUGCCUGACAAAGUGAAGUAGACCAAAAGAUCCUCAAAAGCUAGAAAUC